AGUGAACGCUGGCGGUAGGCCUAACACAUGCAAGUCGAACGGCAGCACAGUAAGAGCUUGCUCUUACGGGUGGCGAGUGGCGGACGGGUGAGGAAUACAUCGGAAUCUACUUUUUCGUGGGGGAUAACGUAGGGAAACUUACGCUAAUACCGCAUACGACCUACGGGUGAAAGCAGGGGAUCUUCGGACCUUGCGCGAUUGAAUGAGCCGAUGUCGGAUUAGCUAGUUGGCGGGGUAAAGGCCCACCAAGGCGACGAUCCGUAGCUGGUCUGAGAGGAUGAUUAGGCACACUGGAACUGAGACACGGCCCAGACUCCUACGGGGGGCCGCAGUGGGGAAUAUUGGACAAUGGGCGCAAGCCUGAUCCAGCCAUACCGCGUGGGGGAAGAAGGCCUUCGGGUUGUAAAGCCCUUUUGUUGGGAAAGAAAAGCAGCAGGUUAAUACCCCGCUGUUCUGACGGUACCCAAAGAAUAAGCACCGGCUAACUUCGUG
rnacentral:rRNA from 1 species